UGGGGAAUAUUGGACAAUGGGCGAAAGCCUGAUCCAGCCAUGCCGCGUGUGUGAAGAAGGUCUUCGGAUUGUAAAGCACUUUAAGGUGGGAGGAAGGGCAGUAAGCGAAUACCUUGCUGUUUUGACGUUACCGACAGAAUAAGCACCGGCUAACUCUGUGCCAGCAGCCGCGGUAAUACAGAGGGUGCAAGCGUUAAUCGGAAUUACUGGGAGUAAAGCGCGCGUAGGUGGUUCGUUAAGUUGAAUGUGAAAGCCCCGGGCUCAACCUGGGGACUGCAUCCAAAACUGGCGGGCUAGAGUAGGGCAGAGGGUGGUGGAAUUUCCUGUGUAGCGGUGAAAUGCGUAGAUAUAGGAAGGAACACCAGUGGCGAAGGCGACCACCUGGGCUCAUACUGACACUGAGGUGCGAAAGCGUGGGGAGCAAACAGG
rnacentral:rRNA from 1 species